rnacentral:rRNA from 1 species
GACGAACGCUGGCGGCGUGCUUAACACAUGCAAGUCGAACGGUGAAGCCCUUCGGGGUGGCUCAGUGGCGAACGGGUGAGUAACACGUGAGCAACCUGCCCCUGGCUCUGGGACAACCACUGGAAACGGUGGCUAAUACCGGAUACGACCCGCCUCGGCAUCGAGUGUGGGUGGAAAGGUUUUCGGCUGGGGAUGGGCUCACGGCCGAUCAGCUUGUUGGUGAGGUGAAGGCUCACCAAGGCGACGACGGGUAGCCGGCCUGAGAGGGCGACCGGCCACACUGGGACUGAGACACGGCCCAGACUCCUACGGGAGGCAGCAGUGGGGAAUAUUGCACAAUGGGCGAAAGCCUGAUGCAGCGACGCCGCGUGAGGGAUGACGGCCUUCGGGUUGUAAACCUCUUUCAGCUCCGAAGAAGCGAAAGUGACGGUAGGAGCAGAAGAAGCACCGGCUAACUACGUG